AUGCUUCAUUCGCCUCACAAACAACCACAGAACCACAAGUGCGGUGCAAACUUUCUCCAGGAGGACAGCAAGAAGUCUCUGGUUUUUAAAUGGUUAAUCUCCGCAGGUCACUACCAGCCACCGAGACCAACAGAGUCAGUGAGUGCUCUCUAACCACAGUCUAUGCAGUAAUAUUUAAGGCUGCAAGCAGUAUUUACAACAGAGGGUACAAGUUCUAUCUGAAAAAAAAAGGAGGGACUAUGGCAUCAAACAGCCUCUUCAGCACAGUGACACCAUGUCAGCAAAACUUCUUUUGGGGUGAGGAACUGAAGUCCAGAGGGGUUUCUUGAACUGCCCAAGGACACACUACUAUUUAGUGAUACAAGCUGGGACUAAAACUGAGGUCCCCCGACACCUGGUCCAGAGUUCUUUCUACUACACAACAAGGAAUAUACAAAUAAAAGUUUAUCAUAACUAA